rnacentral:tRNA from 1 species
GAGGGUAUAGCUCAAAUGGUAGAGCACAUGCUUUGCGUGCCUGAGGUCCUGGGUUCAAUCCCCAGUCCCUCCU